rnacentral:rRNA from 1 species
GGAAGUAAAAGUCGUAAACAAGGUUCCGUAGGUGAACCUGCGGAAGGAUCAUUCACAAACGAGUGUUUUAUGGCACUCUUUAAAAAUCCAUAUCCACCUUGUGUGCAAUGUUUGUUGGGAAAGUCUUUUCUUUCCCUUCAUAAAUAUCAACUUAUAUCUUUAACAACAUUCGUCUGAUAACAUAUUAUGAAUAUACUUAAUUCAAAAUAUAACUUUCAACAACGGAUCUCUUGGCUCUCGCAUCGAUGAAGAACGCAGCGAAAUGCGAUACGUAAUGUGAAUUGCAGAAUUCAGUGAAUCAUCGAAUCUUUGAACGCAUAUUGCGCUCUUUGGUAUUCCGAAGAGCAUGCUUGUUUGAGUAUCAGUAAACACCUCAACCUCUCUUUUUUUGUUCAAAAAAAAGGAGGGUGGACUUGAGCUAUCCCAACGGCCUUCAUCGGCAGGCGGGCGGCUUGAAAUGCAGGUGCAGCUGGACUUUUAUCUGAGCUAAAAGCAUAUCUAUUUAGUCCUCGUCAAACAGGAUUAUUACUUUUGCUGCAGCUAACAUAAAGGAUAAUUGUCCUCUUUGCUGACUGAUGCAGGAUUUUACGACACUUUAUGUGUUGUUCAACUCGAUCUCAAAUCAAGUAAGACUACCCGCUGAACUUAAGCAUAUCAUAAGCGGAGGA